AGUGAACGCUGGCGGUAGGCCUAACACAUGCCAGUCGAACGGCAGCACAGUAAGAGCUUGCUCUUACGGGUGGCGAGUGGCGGACGGGUGAGGAAUACAUCGGAAUCUACUUUUUCGUGGGGGAUAACGUAGGGAAACUUACGCUAAUACCGCAUACGACCUACGGGUGAAAGCAGGGGAUCUUCGGACCUUGCGCGAUUGGAUGAGCCGAUGUCGGAUUAGCUAGUUGGCGGGGUAAAGGCCCACCAAGGCGACGAUCCGUAGCUGGUCGGAGAGGAUGAUCAGCCACACUGGAACGGAGACACGGUCCAGACUCCUACGGGAGGCAGCAGUGGGGAAUAUUGGACAGUGGGCGCAAGCCUGAUCCAGCCAUACCGCGUGGGUGAAGAAGGCCUUCGGGUUGUAAAGACCUUUUGUUGGGAAAGAAAAGCAGCAGGUUAAUACCCCGCUGUUCUGACGGUACCCAAAGAAUAAGCACCGGCUAACUUCGUG
rnacentral:rRNA from 1 species